AACUCAUAAGCCUGUGUCAGCUCAGACAAAUGCAUUCUUCCCAUUCUGAGCUGUUGACUUGUGCAUUUAUUUUGGAUUUGACCCUCUGGGGAAGGGGGCGGGGCCCCUGCCAACAGGAAGGCUCUGGGGCCUAGGGGGUUAAAUGAGGUCUCAGAAUGACUCUCUCAGGAGCCCAGUUCCCCUUUCAUCACCUCAUAGAGCCAGAAGGCCCCACUGUCCUGCCCGGCACCUGCCAUGGCUGUCGGUCUCCUGGGCUGUGUGGGCUUCUGCCUCCUGUGGGCAGGUUUGGUGAAUGCUGGCGUCACCCAGACCCCAAGAUUCCAGAUCCUGGAGACAGGACAGAACAUGACACUGAGAUGUGUCCAGGACAUGAACCAUGACUACAUGUACUGGUAUCGACAAGAUCCUGGGCUGGGGCUGAGGCUGAUCCAGUACUCAGGCACUGUUGGUUCCCCUAACAAAGGAAACAUCCCUGAAGGCUACAGUGUCUCUAGGUCAAGUACAAAGAACUUCCUCCUCACGCUGGAGUCUGCUACCCCCUCCCAGACAUCUGUGUACUUCUGUGCCAGCAGUGACUACACAGUGCUGCACGGCUGCCUCCUCUCUGCACAUAAAGGCAGGGGAGGCUCUGCACCCCCAGAAGUCAGCGAUGGCCUUGGCACAGUUCUCAGCACCAGGACACUGGAGCCCUAGGGGCCCGCGCAGUGUGGGCCUGGGUCUGUGCCAGGUGCACCUGCAGGAAGUCUCAGCCAGGCCUGGACUGAUCCCAGGCCUCAGGCACAGAUGGGUCUCCCUUGUUGUUGUCUCACCUUUCUGCUCAGCUGUCCCACUGGGGUGGAGACGGGGCUUCCCUGGCUCUGACUGUUCUAGUCAUUAGCCUGAGUCUGAGGCCUCCAGGAUGGAACGUGAUUUGUGUUCCAGCUACACGUAGAUCCCUGUCUCUGCCUGGGCGCCACGUGGCUCUCCCUGUAGGGUUCUCCCCCAUGCCCAGCCCUCACAUGGCCUCUGCUGCAGCCCCUUUCCCAUAUGGGCAGUCGCCCUGGGAAUCCUUCAUGGAUCUCUCCUCCCCCGCCCCUGACCCCCUACUCCAGCCAGGCUGCACAGACCCUCACCUGCGCCUCCCUCCUUCCCAUCACAGAGACUCAGAGGCCGUUUCCUCUGACCUGGGCAGGGAGCCUUCCUUUCCGUAGAGGCUAAUUCCCACCUGUGCUUCGGAUCUCAGCCAAAUCACCCCCUCCUGAGGGAAGCUUCCCCUCACCUCCCAGCUGAGGUCAAUUUCCCUCCCAUAAGCUCUCAUG